CUUCCUCAUAACUGACUGAGUCUCUGCUUUUUACAGCCUGUACAUUUAACAAUUUCCUGCGUAUAAUUCUUCUGAGGCAACAAAACCUUUUGAGCUUAAACAAGCAAAAAGCGGGAGGGGAAGAAGCAUGCCAAUGCUGACAGGCUGAUAGCACUGAUUUGAGCAUAAGCCUGCCAUCAUCAGACACUGCUGCUAACUAGCACAGAGAAGGCAAAGGAAGAGGGAAACAAAGAGACCAUUGUUAAAAGAAAGCAAGCAUAAAUAAAUCGAGUUUUCCUGCUGUACUUCUAAAAACUAGACAAAAAGCGCUUUCUACUCUAAAAGGAACCAUUUUUAUUAUGAAUUGUUCAUUCCAAGGGGCCUAUUGUUCUGCCGAUGAACACGUGUAAUUUUCACUUACAUUUAUGCAUGUGCAGUGAGAGAGGCUAUACCACAAUGUGUUGAAGACAUCCUAGCCGCAGAGACGCUGCAUAUAUCAUAGCAUUUAUCUAUCUAUAGAAUCACCUGCCACUGUAGUUUCCGACUAACUCCUCCAGCAUCUGGUCUUAUUUAUUGACAAAUUCCAAGGCAACGUUUUCAGGGAUUUAUAGAGACAGUGAGAACUAAUUGAAAAGGACAUGUAAAAGAAGACGUAUGUAUUUAUGCCAUCUGUGCUACCUCUUGCUGCGGCAGAGAAUGAUCUGUCUAUGGAGAAAACUACUUAGAAACCAAAGACACCUAAAACAUCGAUGGAAAGUACUGUAGACCUGAGUCAGGACAACCUGAAAUACAUGUGAGAGGAAAAAAGCCUAGGCAGAAGGUUUUGAAUAAAAAACA